rnacentral:rRNA from 1 species
AUUGAACGCUGGCGGCAUGCCUUACACAUGCAAGUCGAACGGCAGCGGGGACUUCGGUCCGCCGGCGAGUGGCGAACGGGUGAGUAAAGUAUCGGAACGUACCUUUCAGUGGGGGAUAACGUAGCGAAAGUUACGCUAAUACCGCAUAUUCUGUGAGCAGGAAAGCAGGGGAUCGCAAGACCUUGCGCUGAUUGAGCGGCCGAUAUCAGAUUAGCUAGUUGGUGAGGUAAAGGCUCACCAAGGCGACGAUCUGUAGCGGGUCUGAGAGGAUGAUCCGCCACACUGGAACUGAGACACGGUCCAGACUCCGACGGGAGGCAGCAGUGGGGAAUUUUGGACAAUGGGGGCAACCCUGAUCCAGCCAUGCCGCGUGAGUGAAGAAGGCCUUCGGGUUGUAAAGCUCUUUCGGCCGGGAAGAAAUCGUAUGGGUUGAUACCCUGUGCGGAUGACGGUACCGGCAUAAGAAGCACCGGCUAACUACGUGCCAGCCGCCGCGGUAAUAC